UACAGAGGGUGCAAGCGUUAAUCGGAAUUACUGGGCGUAAAGCGCACGUAGGUGGACUAUUAAGUUGGCUGUGAAAGCCCCGGGCUCAACCUGGGAGGGUCAGCCAAUACUGAUAGACUAGAGUACUUUAGAGGGUAGUGGAAUUUCUGGUGUAGCGGUGAAAUGCGUAGAGAUCAGAAAGAACACCUGUGGCGAAGGCGGCUACCUGGAAAGAUACUGACACUGAGGUGCGAAAGCGUGGGGAGCAAACAGG
rnacentral:rRNA from 1 species